UACGUAGGGUGCAAGCGUUAAUCGGAAUUACUGGGCGUAAAGCGUGCGCAGGCGGUUUUGUAAGUCUGACGUGAAAUCCCCGGGCUCAACCUGGGAAUUGCGUUGGAGACUGCAAGGCUAGAAUCUGGCAGAGGGGGGUAGAAUUCCACGUGUAGCAGUGAAAUGCGUAGAUAUGUGGAGGAACACCGAUGGCGAAGGCAGCCCCCUGGGUCAAGAUUGACGCUCAUGCACGAAAGCGUGGGGAGCAAACAGGAU
rnacentral:rRNA from 1 species